rnacentral:rRNA from 1 species
AAUCAACGCUGGCGGCGUGCCUCAGACAUGCAAGUCGAACGCGAAAUUUCCCUUCGGGGAGAAAGUAGAGUGGCGCACGGGUGAGUAACACGUAGGUAAUUUGCCUUUGGGUGGGGAAUAACUCAGGGAAACUUGAGCUAAUACCGCAUAAUGCAGCGGCUCGACAUCGAGACAGUUGUUAAAGCGGGGAUCGCAAGACCUCGCGCCUGAAGAGAAGCCUGCGGCAGAUUAGCUAGUUGGUAAGGUAAUGGCUUACCAAGGCGACGAUCUGUAACCGGCCUGAGAGGGCGGUCGGUCACACUGACACUGACAUACGGGUCAGACUCCUACGGGAGGCAGCAGUCGGGAAUUUUGGCAAUGGGCGAAAGCCUGACCCAGCAACGCCGCGUGAAGGAUGAAAUCCUCGGAUGUAAACUUCGCAAGAACGGAAGAAUAAGUGAAAGUUAAUAUACUUUCAUGAUGACGGUACCGUUUGUAAGC